GACAACCCCAUUCAGGUCGUGUUCCUGCUUAAAACCCUCUGCUUGGGCCCCGCGCCAAGUCGAGUCCUCAUUCGGGAUGUGGAUUAGCGCCCUUCGCGAUCCCCGAGCUCCUCCCUCGUCUGCCCCUGGAGGGGAGCGCCCACUGUCCGGCUCCUGAAGGAGCCGCUUCUCCUCCCACGUCCUGGGAUUCUGCAGACCCUCCCUGUCGUGAGACAUCGUUCUCCGCGCCACCUUGUGUCGUCCUCACGCCGGGUCCUUCCGCUCCCCAGGCUUCCCCUUCACAGCCACUGCUUUUCUUGACUCCCCGUUGGGACAGGUUGCCUGAGUCUGUCUUGUGACACCCAGUGUUCUUCCUUCCCAAAUUUUACUCCACUGGAAAAUGUGCUCUUCCGGGAGGUGGGCAUCCUAUUCCUCCCCCUUUCCUCCCGAAUGUGCGGGUGAGAGGGAUCAGGAGAGGAAAAGACGGGGAACGACGGAGCAAAAGGAAAAACUGAGGAGAAGAGAAUGAGGGAGACCCAUAAAUACACGGCAAAAUGGAUGAUACUUUAGGGACUUGCAAAGAGAGCAAGAGUGAAAGAGAACGGAUGGAAAAAGUAGCAGGGGGAGAAAAGCACACAGAGAAAUUUAGAAAAAAAGGGGACCUUCAGAGAGAUGAAGGGCAGCAAAAUAGAAUGGGGCGGCAAAGGAGGAGGCGCUGCAGACAGACAGUGGGGAGAAGGUGAAAGAGUUGGAGCCGCGUCUGACAGAGCCACGUGGUGCUGGGACUGAAAGAGGGAGAGAGGGCAGUGGGUGACAAGCAGAGUAGAGGGAGAACCACAGCAGGGAGGAAGCCUAGGAAAUUGGGGGUGCUAGAGAGUGGGAACAAAGGAGGUGUAACAGGGAAGAGGGAAUUUAACAAGGAGAGCAGAGAGGGAGCUUAGAUGGGGGAAAAGAGGCAGAAAUACGUGGAGAUUGGGGACAAUCGGAAAGAUUGGGGAGAAAGAGCUACGAGAGGUGAAGUAAGUUGCAGAGCAUUGGGCAGAACAGACAUAAAGAGGGAAUAAAGAAAGGGGUGCAAAACAGAAAAGGAGAAAAAAAAGACGCGCAGAAUGAGAGAGGGAAACACAUAGCCGUGAAGAAAGCGGGAGAGGACCCCAUCCAGAUGCGUGACAGUUGAUUGGAUAUGGAUGGUGGUUGUAAUAUAUUGAUUUGUGGCUUUAUACUCCGAUUUGAAAUAUGUUUAAGUUGUACUCAUGAGGAUGAAAAUCACCAAAGUUUUUUCCAUAAGCCUUGUGCAUUUUGUAUGUAUUUGUAUCAAAAGAUAUUUGGAAUUCCUAUUUAGCCAGAGGGCAGUGACUUGAUCCAGUUAUUUGUGGUAACUCUCUUCUUCCCAAUGAUGGAGUAGAGGAUAAAGGAGGGGAGAAAUGGGGCAAGAAAUGACUGACUGUCACUACAAGAUAUGUCUUUGGUGUUUUUUGUGGCUUUGUUCUGUUUUGUUUGUUUUGGGGGGGGACAUGGUCUCUCUCUGCCGCCUAGGCUGGAGAGCAGUGGCAUGAUCUCGGCUCACUGCAGCUUCUACUUCCUGGCCUCAAGCAGUCUUUCCACCUCAGCCUCUCAACGCACUGGAAUUACAGAUGUGAGCCACCACACUAGGCCUACAAGGGAUCUUUGACAUUCAGGGAUGUAGCCAUAGAAUUCUCUCAGGAGGAGUGGAAAUGCCUGGACCCUGUUCAGAAAGCUUUGUACAGGGACGUGAUGUUGGAGAACUACAGGAACCUCGGC
rnacentral:lncRNA from 1 species